rnacentral:rRNA from 1 species
GUGCCAGCAGCCGCGGUAAUACGUAGGUGGCAAGCGUUGUCCGGAUUUAUUGGGCGUAAAGCGCGCGCAGGCGGCUAUGUAAAGUCUGGUGUUAAAGCCCGGAGCUCAACCCCGGUUCGCCAUCGGAAACUGUGUAGCUUGAGUGCAAGAAGAGGAAAGCGGUAUUCCACGUGUAGCGGUGAAAUGCGUAGAGAUGUGGAGGAACACCAGUGGCGAAGAGCGGCUUUCUGGUCUGUAACUGACGCUGAGGCGCGAAAGCGUGGAGAGCAAACAGGAUUAGAUACCCUGGUAGUCC